CAAUAACGACUCCAAGGUGUCCCCAUAUAAACACUAUUGACUCCCAGGUGUCCCCAUAUAGACACUAUUUACUCCCAGGUGUCCCCAUAGAGACACUAACGACUCCCAGGUAUCCCCAUAGAGACACUAAUGACUCCCAGGUAUGCCCAUAGAGACACUAAUGACUCCCAGGUGUCCCCAUAGAGACACUAACGACUCCCAGGUAUCCCCAUAGAGACACUAAUGACUCCCAGCUAUCCCCAUAGAGACACUAACGACUCCCAGGUAUCCCCAUAGAGACACUAAUGACUCCCAGGUGUUCCCAUAGAGACACUAACGACUCCCUGGUGUCCCCACAGAGACACUAACGACUCCCAGGUAUCCCCAUAGAGACACUAAUGACUCCCAGGUAUCCCCAUAGAGACACUAAUGACUCCCAGGUAUCCCCAUAGACACUAAUGACUCCCAGGUGUUCCCAUAGAGACACUAACAACUCCCUGAUGUCCACAUAAAGACGAUAACGACUCCCAGGUGUCCCCAUAGAGAUGAUAACAACUCCCAGGUGUCCCCAUAGAGACAAUAACCACUCCCAGAUUUCCCCGUAGAGACAAUAAUGACUCCCAAGAUCCUCUGUUGGGAUGUUAAUAACUCCCAGGUGUCCCCAUAGAGACAAAAACGACUCCCAGGUAUCCCCAUAGAGACACUAAUGACUCCCAGGUGUUCCCAUAGAGACACUAACGACUCCCUGGUGUCCACAUAGAGACGAUAACGACUCCCAGAUGUCCCCAUAGAGAUGAUAACGACUCCCAGGUGUCCCCAUAGAGACAAUAACGACUCCCAGGUUUCCCCAUAGAGACAAUAAUGACUCCCAAGAUCCUCCGUUGGGAUGUUAAUAACUCCCAGGUAUCCGCAUAGAGACACUCAUGACUCCCAGGUGUACCCAUAGAGACGAUAACUCCCAGGUGUACCCAUAGAGACGAUAACUCCCAGGUGUACCCAUAGAGACAAUAACGACUCCCUGGUGUCCACAUAGAGACGAUAACGACUCCCAGGUGUACCCAUAGAGACAAUAAAAAGUUUUCUUUUGAAUUCAGUGUCCAGGUGAACAGCUGAGGUGGACUCAGUAAUCAGGACGAUCGAUUAUAUCACCACAGCUGUUGAUGAAUGCAGUUUUCAGGUUGUUUGAUGACCUCAUUCUAAAUGUUGUUUUUUUUUA